rnacentral:lncRNA from 1 species
UAAAAAUAUGAAAUAAAAGUGGUUUCAUCUCCGCAUACACAGAGAACGUUGAAGAAGUAGGAGUGCUUGUGGAUUUGCUCAUGAUGGAUUUGGAGUAGUUGUUUAUUGCAGCCAUGAAUUAAUUGAAGCAACGUGAUAAAGGAUGUGGGUUCGAGAUUACCACCAUGGAAGCCGGUGAAAAUGGCUAAAAGGUGGGAUAAUUUUGAAAGUACAUACGUGAAGGGCAUGGAUGGGAGCGUUGAGAGCUCAAGCUCUCUAAAAACACACACACCCUCUCUAUAAGUAGUUAUUUUGAUUCUGUUUGGAUGAUGGAGAGCGAUUUAAGAAAGGAUGUGGAAGCUGGGUAAUGAAUUGCAGUUCUAAUCUGGUGUUUGAUGAGUUUUUUACAGAUUAGUUUGUGAAUCUUAUUCAGGAAAGGUCCAGGUGAUGAGUGUGUGUAAAGAACAACCUUGGAGUGGAUAUAACAACUGGACUUCAUUGCUGGAGGUGGUUUUGCAGAUGUCGGGCAUGGCCGGGAAAGACACGGAAAUGGAAAGGGUGCGAGAAGCUUAUUUAGACAUGUUUUAAGGGGAAAAAAUCCACAACUAUCAGUUAAAAAGCUAAUAUAUUUCAGACUGGAAAAACAAUACCUUUUUUCUACAAAUCUGAAAGAAAGUUAAUUAAAUCAAAAGGACUUACAAAUG